rnacentral:rRNA from 1 species
ACGCUGACAGAAUGCUUAACACAUGCAAGUCGAUGAUGGGAGCUAGCUUGCUAGAAGAAGUCAUGGCGGACGGGUGAGUAACGUGUAAAGAACUUACCGUAUAGACUGGGAUAACAGAGGGAAACUUCUGAUAAUACUGGAUAAGUUAGUAGUAGCAUUACUAAGUAAUGAAAGGUAGCAAUACGCUAUAUGAGAGCUUUGCAUCCUAUUAGCUAGUUGGUGGGGUAAAAGCCUACCAAGGCGAUGAUAGGUAGCCGGCCUGAGAGGGUGGAUGGCCACAAGGGGACUGAGAUACGGCCCUUACUCCUACGGGAGGCAGCAGUGGGGAAUAUUGGACAAUGGAGGCAACUCUGAUCCAGCAAUUCUGUGUGUGUGAAGAAGGUUUUAGGACUGUAAAACACUUUUAGUAGGGAAGAAAGAAAUGACGGUACCUACAGAAGAAGCGACGGCUAAAUACGUGCCAGCAGCCGCGGUAAUACGUAUGUCGCGAGCGUUAUCCGGAAUUAUUGGGCUUAAAGGGCAUCUAGGCGGUUAAACAAGUUGAAGGUGAAAACCUGUGGCUCAACCAUAGGCUUGCCUACAAAACUGUAUAACUAGAGUACUGGAAAGGUGGGUGGAACUACACGAGUAGAGGUGAAAUUCGUAGAUAUGUGUAGGAAUGCCGAUGAUGAAGAUAACUCACUGGACAGCAACUGACGCUGAAGUGCGAAAGCUAGGG